rnacentral:rRNA from 4 species
CCGAAUAGGGGAGCCGGAGGGAAACCGAGUCUUAAUUGGGCGUUAAGUUGCAGGGUAUAGACCCGAAACCCGGUGAUCUAGCCAUGGGCAGGUUGAAGGUUGGGUAACACUAACUGGAGGACCGAACCGACUAAUGUUGAAAAAUUAGCGGAUGACCUGUGGCUGGGGGUGAAAGGCCAAUCAAACCGGGAGAUAGCUGGUUCUCCCCGAAAGCUAUUUAGGUAGCGCCUCGUGAAUUCAUCUCCGGGGGUAGAGCACUGUUUCGGCUAGGGGGCCAUCCCGGCUUACCAACCCGAUGCAAACUGCGAAUACCGGAGAAUGUUAUCACGGGAGACACACGGCGGGUGCUAACGUCCGUCGUGAAGAGGGAAACAACCCAGACCGCCAGCUAAGGUCCCAAAGUCAUGGUUAAGUGGGAAACGAUGUGGGAAGGCCCAGACAGCCAGGAUGUUGGCUUAGAAGCAGCCAUCAUUUAAAGAAAGCGUAAUAGCUCACUGGUCGAGUCGGCCUGCGCGGAAGAUGUAACGGGGCUAAACCAU